UAACGCGUAAGGAACUUGCCUCUUGGUCUGGGACAACUGUUGGAAACGACAGCUAAUACCGGAUAUUAUGAGAUUCUCGCAUGGGAAACUUAUGAAAGCUAUAUGCGCCAAGAGAGAGCCUUGCGUUCCAUUAGCUAGUUGGUGGGGUAACGGCCCACCAAGGCGACGAUGGAUAGCCGGCCUGAGAGGGUGAACGGCCACAAGGGGACUGAGACACGGCCCUUACUCCUACGGGAGGCAGCAGUGGGGAAUAUUGGACAAUGGACCAAAAGUCUGAUCCAGCAAUUUUGUGUGCACGAUGAAGGUCUUCGGAUUGUAAAGUGCUUUCAGUUGGGAAGAAGCAAGUGACGGUACCAACAGAAGAAGCGACGGCUAAAUACGUGCCAGCAGCCGCGGUAAUACGUAUGUCGCAAGCGUUAUCCGGAUUUAUUGGGCGUAAAGCGCGUCUAGGCGGAAAAAUAAGUCUGAUGUUAAAAUGCGGGGCUCAACUCCGUAUUGCGUUGGAAACUGUUUUUCUAGAGUACUGGAGAGGUGGGCGGAACUACAAGUGUAGAGGUGAAAUUCGUAGAUAUUUGUAGGAAUGCCGAUGGAGA
rnacentral:rRNA from 1 species